AUUGAACGCUGGCGGCAUGCCUUACACAUGCAAGUCGAACGGCAGCGCGGACUUCGGUCUGGCGGCGAGUGGCGAACGGGUGAGUAAUACAUCGGAACGUACCCUGUUGUGGGGGAUAACUAGUCGAAAGAUUAGCUAACACCGCAUACGACCUGAGGGUGAAAGUGGGGGACCGCAAGGCCUCACGCAGCAGGAGCGGCCGAUGUCUGAUUAGCUAGUUGGUGGGGUAAAGGCCCACCAAGGCGACGAUCAGUAGCUGGUCUGAGAGGACGAUCAGCCACACUGGGACUGAGACACGGCCCAGACUCCUACGGGAGGCAGCAGUGGGGAAUUUUGGACAAUGGGGGCAACCCUGAUCCAGCAAUGCCGCGUGUGUGAAGAAGGCCUUC
rnacentral:rRNA from 1 species